UGGGGAAUAUUGCGCAAUGGACGAAAGUCUGACGCAGCAACGCCGCGUGGGUGAUGAAGGCCUUCGGGUUGUAAAGCCCUGUCGCCCGGGACGAACAAGCUCGUGAAGAACGAGCCCUGACGGUACCGGGAGAGGAAGCACCGGCUAACUCUGUGCCAGCAGCCGCGGUAAUACAGAGGGUGCUAGCGUUGUUCGGAAUUAUUGGGCGUAAAGGGCGCGUAGGCGGCUUCGUAUGUCGGGUGUGAAAUCCCACCUCUUAAAGGUGGAAUUGCAUUCGAAACUACGGGGCUGGAGUGCCGGAGAGGAUGGUGGAAUUCCUGGUGUAGAGGUGAAAUUCGUAGAUAUCAGGAGGAACACCGGUGGCGAAGGCGGCCAUCUGGACGGUAACUGACGCUGAGGCGCGAAAGCGUGGGGAUCAAACAGG
rnacentral:rRNA from 1 species